rnacentral:rRNA from 1 species
CUUGCUCCUUGGGUGACGAGCGGCGGACGGGUGAGUAAUGCCUGGGGAUCUGCCCGAUAGAGGGGGAUAACUACGGGAAACUGUAGCUAAUACCGCAUAACGUCUACGGACCAAAGUGGGGGCUCUUCGGACCUCAUGCUAUCGGAUGAACCCAGGUGGGAUUAGCUAGUUGGUGAGGUAAUGGCUCACCAAGGCGACGAUCUCUAACUGGUUUGAGAGAAUGACCAGUCACACUGGAACUGAGACACGGUCCAGACUCCUACGGGAGGCAGCAGUGGGGAAUAUUGCACAAUGGGCGCAAGCCUGAUGCAGCCAUGCCGCGUGUGUGAAGAAGGCCUUCGGGUUGUAAAGCACUUUCAGCGGGGAGGAAGGGUCACUAGUUAAUACCUAGUGGCAUUGACGUUACUCGCAGAAGAAGCACCGGCUAACUCCGUGCCAGCAGCCGCGGUAAUACGGAGGGUGCAAGCGUUAAUCGGAAUUACUGGGCGUAAAGCGCACGCAGGCGGUUUGUUAAGUCAGAUGUGAAAUCCUCGAGCUCAACUUGGGAACUGCAUUUGAAACUGGCAAGCUAGAGUCUUGUAGAGGGGGG